UUUGAUGGUGCGAUGAUCGCUUGAGUAAUCAAGAGGAAAGUCCGGGCUCCACUGGAAAAAAAACCAGGUAACACCUGGCGAGCAUAAGCUUAGGGAAAGUGCAGCAGAAAAAAUACCGCCUGCAAAGGUAAGGGUGAAAAGGUGAGGUAAGAGCUCACCGCUUUUUUGGUAACAAAAAAGGCAUUGCAAACCCUUUUUGGAGCAAGGUCAAAUAGGAAUAACAAUCAUUUCCAGAUGAGUUAUUCGGGUAGACCGCUUGAAACAAAUGGCAACAUUUGUUCUAGAUUAAUGAUCAUCAAUUUUUUUUAAAAUUACAGAACCCGGCUUACGCACCAUCAUUAUUA
rnacentral:RNase_P_RNA from 1 species